rnacentral:rRNA from 1 species
AGAGUUUGAUCAUGGCUCAGAGCGAACGCUGGCGGCAGGCUUAACACAUGCAAGUCGAGCGGGCCCUUCGGGGUCAGCGGCAGACGGGUGAGUAACACGUGGGAACGUACCCUUUGGUUCGGAAUAACGCUGGGAAACUAGCGCUAAUACCGGAUACGCCCUUUUGGGGAAAGGCUUGCUGCCGAAGGAUCGGCCCGCGUCUGAUUAGCUAGUUGGUGGGGUAAUGGCCUACCAAGGCGACGAUCAGUAGCUGGUCUGAGAGGAUGAUCAGCCACACUGGGACUGAGACACGGCCCAGACUCCUACGGGAGGCAGCAGUGGGGAGUAUUGGACAAUGGGCGCAAGCCUGAUCCAGCCAUGCCGCGUGAGUGAUGAAGGCCUUAGGGUUGUAAAGCUCUUUUGUCCGGGACGAUAAUGACGGUACCGGAAGAAUAAGCCCCGGCUAACUUCGUGCCAGCAGCCGCGGUAAU